ACCACUGCUAAUCUAUUACCACUGUCAAUCUAUCUAUCACUGCUAAUCUAUUGCUGUCAAUCUAUCUACUACUGUCAAUCUAUCUAUUGCUGCUAAUCUAUCACUGCUAAUCUAUUACUGUUAAUCUAUUACUGCUAAUCUAUUACUGCUAAUCUAUCACUGCUAAUUUAUUGCUGCUAAUCUAUUGCUGUUAAUCUAUCACUGCUAAUCUAUCACUGCUAAUCUAUUACUGCUAAUCUAUUGCUGCUAAUCUAUUACUGUCAAUCUAUCUACUGCUGUCAAUCUAUCUACCACUGCCAAUUUAUCUAUCACUGUCAAUCUAUAUAGAGUAAAUCAUGAUUUCAUUUGAUUCCAUUUUGUAAAAUGAAAUCAAAUAAAAUCAGAAUCACUAAUUUAUUAGUAAAAUAUGAUCUGAGACUAGAUUUAUAAUAUAAACAGUGUAAAGUAACUAAUUUGCUAAACACUAUAUAAAACCAGAAUUAAGAUAUCUAAUAAUGAAACUGAGGAAAAAUUUGAUUUCAGUCUUAUAUAUAGUCAC
rnacentral:sRNA from 2 species